ACGCGAUCUCUACUCAAAGUCUAAAUGACUCUCGGCAACGGAUAUCUCGGCUCUUGCAUCGAUGAAGAACGUAGCGAAAUGCGAUACUUGGUGUGAAUUGCAGAAUCCCGUGAACCAUCAAUUCUUUGAACGCAAGUUGCGCCCGAAGCCAUUCGGCCGAGGGCACGCCUGCCUGGGCGU
rnacentral:rRNA from 1 species